GACAGAGGGUGCAAACGUUGCUCGGAAUCACUGGGCGUAAAGGGCGUGUAGGCGGGAAGGAAAGUCGGGCGUGAAAUCCCUGGGCUCAACCCAGGAACUGCACUCGAAACUUCUUUUCUUGAGUGCCGGAGAGGAAAGCGGAAUACCUGGUGUAGAGGUGAAAUUCGUAGAUAUCAGGUGGAACACCAGUGGCGAAGGCGGCUUUCUGGACGGUAACUGACGCUGGAGACGCGAAAGCCGUGGGAGCAAACAGG
rnacentral:rRNA from 1 species